rnacentral:rRNA from 1 species
UACGGAGGGGGCUAGCGUUGCUCGGAAUCACUGGGCGUAAAGGGCGCGUAGGCUGUGCUGUAAGUCAGGCGUGAAAGCCCCGGGCUCAACCUGGGAAUUGCGCUUGAUACUGCGGCGCUGGAAGGUGGGAGAGGAUGGCGGAAUUCCCAGUGUAGAGGUGAAAUUCGUAGAUAUUGGGAAGAACACCGGUGGCGAAGGCGGCCAUCUGGCCCACAAUUGACGCUGAGGCGCGAAAGCGUGGGGAGCAAACAGG